rnacentral:rRNA from 1 species
GGAAUAUUGGUCAAUGGACGCAAGUCUGAACCAGCCAUGCCGCGUGAAGGAUGAAGGUCCUCUGGAUUGUAAACUUCUUUUAUCUGGGACGAAACACUUCUUUUCUAAGAGGCCUGACGGUACCAGAUGAAUAAGCACCGGCUAACUCCGUGCCAGCAGCCGCGGUAAUACGGAGGGUGCACGCGUUAUCCGGAUUCACUGGGUUUAAAGGGUGCGUAGGUGGGUAUGUAAGUCAGUGGUGAAAUCCCCGAGCUUAACUUGGGAACUGCCAGUGAUACUAUAUAUCUUGAAUACCGUAGAGGUAAGCGGAAUAUGUCAUGUAGCGGUGAAAUGCUUAGAUAUGACAUGGAACACCAAUUGCGAAGGCAGCUUACUAUGCGGUGAUUGACACUGAGGCACGAAAGCGUGGGUAGCAAACA